UAGCAAUAUGUGGCAUACGGCUCAGUAACACGUAGUCAACAUGCCCAGGGGACGUGGAUAACCUCGGGAAACUGAGGAUAAACCGCGAUAGGUCAUCACUUCUGGAAUGGGUAAUGACUUAAAUCUACAUGGCCCCUGGAUUGGACUGCGGCCGAUCAGGCUGUUGGUGAGGUAAUGGCCCACCAAACCUGUAACCGGUACGGGCUCUGAGAGGAGGAGCCCGGAGAUGGGCACUGAGACAAGGGCCCAGGCCCUAUGGGGCGCAGCAGGCGCGAAACCUCUGCAAUAGGCGAAAGCUUGACAGGGUUACUCUGAGUGAUUUCCGUUAAGGAGAUCUUUUGGCACCUCUAAAAAUGGUGCAGAAUAAGGGGUGGGCAAGUCUGGUGUCAGCCGCCGCGGUAAUACCAGCACCCCGAGUGGUCGGGACGUUUAUUGGGCCUAAAGCAUCCGUAGCCGGUUCUACAAGUCUUCCGUUAAAUCCACCUGCUUAACAGAUGGGCUGCGGAAGAUACUAUAGAGCUAGGAGGCGGGAGAGGCAAGCGGUACUCGAUGGGUAGGGGUAAAAUCCGUUGAUCCAUUGAAGACCACCAGUGGCGAAGGCGGCUUGCCAGAACGCGCUCGACGGUGAGGGAUGAAAGCUGGGGGAGCAAACCGGAUUAGAUACCCGGGUAGUCCCAGCUGUAAACGAUGCAGACUCGGUGAUGAGUUGGCUUAUUGCUAACUCAGUGCCGCAGGGAAGCCGUUAAGUUUGCCGCCU
rnacentral:rRNA from 1 species